rnacentral:rRNA from 1 species
UUAAGCGACUAAGCGUACACGGUGGAUGCCCUGGCAGUCAGAGGCGAUGAAGGGCGUGCUAAUCUGCGAUAAGCGCCGGUAAGGUGAUAUGAACCGUUAUAACCGGCGAUACCCGAAUGGGGAAACCCAGUGUGAUUCGUCACACUAUCAUUAACUGAAUCCAUAGGUUAAUGAGGCGAACCGGGGGAACUGAAACAUCUAAGUACCCCGAGGAAAAGAAAUCAACCGAGAUUCCCCCAGUAGCGGCGAGCGAACGGGGAGGAGCCCAGAGCCUGAAUCAGCAUGUGUGUUAGUGGAAGCGUCUGGAAAGGCGCGCGAUACAGGGUGACAGCCCCGUACACAAAAGCGCAUGUGCUGUGAGCUCGAUGAGUAGGGCGGGACACGUGGUAUCCUGUCUGAAUAUGGGGGGACCAUCCUCCAAGGCUAAAUACUCCUGACUGACCGAUAGUGAACCAGUACCGUGAGGGAAAGGCGAAAAGAACCCCGGCGAGGGGAGUGAAAAAGAACCUGAAACCGUGUACGUACAAGCAGUGGGAGCCCCACCACUAAGCCAGUGGUGAACUCCACAUACGCAUCCUUUGCUGAGGAUACGGUUAACGGAGCGAAAGCGACGUUCAACCGCAAAAGAAGCAGAGGGGGCUUAGUGGUGGGGUGACUGCGUACCUUUUGUAUAAUGGGUCAGCGACUUAUAUUCUGUAGCAAGGUUAACCGUAUAGGGGAGCCGGAGGGAAACCGAGUCUUAAUUGGGCGUUAAGUUGCAGGGUAUAGACCCGAAACCCGGUGAUCUAGCCAUGGGCAGGUUGAAGGUUGGGUAACACUAACUGGAGGACCGAACCGACUAAUGUUGAAAAAUUAGCGGAUGACCUGUGGCUGGGGGUGAAAGGCCAAUCAAACCGGGAGAUAGCUGGUUCUCCCCGAAAGCUAUUUAGGUAGCGCCUCGUGAACUCAUCUCCGGGGGUAGAGCACUGUUUCGGCUAGGGGGCCAUCCCGGCUUACCAACCCGAUGCAAACUGCGAAUACCGGAGAAUGUUAUCACGGGAGACACACGGCGGGUGCUAACGUCCGUCGUGAAGAGGGAAACAACCCAGACCGCCAGCUAAGGUCCCAAAGUCAUGGUUAAGUGGGAAACGAUGUGGGAAGGCCCAGACAGCCAGGAUGUUGGCUUAGAAGCAGCCAUCAUUUAAAGAAAGCGUAAUAGCUCACUGGUCGAGUCGGCCUGCGCGGAAGAUGUAACGGGGCUAAACCAUGCACCGAAGCUGCGGCAGCGACACUGUGUGUUGUUGGGUAGGGGAGCGUUCUGUAAGCCUGUGAAGGUGUGUCGUGAGGCAUGCUGGAGGUAUCAGAAGUGCGAAUGCUGACAUAAGUAACGAUAAAGCGGGUGAAAAGCCCGCUCGCCGGAAGACCAAGGGUUCCUGUCCAACGUUAAUCGGGGCAGGGUGAGUCGACCCCUAAGGCGAGGCCGAAAGGCGUAGUCGAUGGGAAACGGGUUAAUAUUCCCGUACUUGGUGUUACUGCGAAGGGGGGACGGAGAAGGCUAUGUUGGCCGGGCGACGGUUGUCCCGGUUUAAGCGUGUAGGCUGGUUUUCCAGGCAAAUCCGGAAAAUCAAGGCUGAGGCGUGAUGACGAGGCACUACGGUGCUGAAGCAACAAAUGCCCUGCUUCCAGGAAAAGCCUCUAAGCAUCAGGUAACAUCAAAUCGUACCCCAAACCGACACAGGUGGUCAGGUAGAGAAUACCAAGGCGCUUGAGAGAACUCGGGUGAAGGAACUAGGCAAAAUGGUGCCGUAACUUCGGGAGAAGGCACGCUGACACGUAGGUGAAGUGAUUUACUCAUGGAGCUGAAGUCAGUCGAAGAUACCAGCUGGCUGCAACUGUUUAUUAAAAACACAGCACUGUGCAAACACGAAAGUGGACGUAUACGGUGUGACGCCUGCCCGGUGCCGGAAGGUUAAUUGAUGGGGUCAGCGCAAGCGAAGCUCCUGAUCGAAGCCCCGGUAAACGGCGGCCGUAACUAUAACGGUCCUAAGGUAGCGAAAUUCCUUGUCGGGUAAGUUCCGACCUGCACGAAUGGCGUAAUGAUGGCCAGGCUGUCUCCACCCGAGACUCAGUGAAAUUGAACUCGCUGUGAAGAUGCAGUGUACCCGCGGCAAGACGGAAAGACCCCGUGAACCUUUACUAUAGCUUGACACUGAACAUUGAGCCUUGAUGUGUAGGAUAGGUGGGAGGCUUUGAAGUGUGGACGCCAGUCUGCGUGGAGCCAACCUUGAAAUACCACCCUUUAAUGUUUGAUGUUCUAACGUGGACCCGUAAUCCGGGUUGCGGACAGUGUCUGGUGGGUAGUUUGACUGGGGCGGUCUCCUCCUAAAGAGUAACGGAGGAGCACGAAGGUUGGCUAAUCCUGGUCGGACAUCAGGAGGUUAGUGCAAUGGCAUAAGCCAGCUUGACUGCGAGCGUGACGGCGCGAGCAGGUGCGAAAGCAGGUCAUAGUGAUCCGGUGGUUCUGAAUGGAAGGGCCAUCGCUCAACGGAUAAAAGGUACUCCGGGGAUAACAGGCUGAUACCGCCCAAGAGUUCAUAUCGACGGCGGUGUUUGGCACCUCGAUGUCGGCUCAUCACAUCCUGGGGCUGAAGUAGGUCCCAAGGGUAUGGCUGUUCGCCAUUUAAAGUGGUACGCGAGCUGGGUUUAGAACGUCGUGAGACAGUUCGGUCCCUAUCUGCCGUGGGCGCUGGAGAACUGAGGGGGGCUGCUCCUAGUACGAGAGGACCGGAGUGGACGCAUCACUGGUGUUCGGGUUGUCAUGCCAAUGGCACUGCCCGGUAGCUAAAUGCGGAAGAGAUAAGUGCUGAAAGCAUCUAAGCACGAAACUUGCCCCGAGAUGAGUUCUCCCUGAGACUUAGAGUCUCCUGAAGGAACGUUGAAGACGACGACGUUGAUAGGCCGGGUGUGUAAGCGCAGCGAUGCGUUGAGCUAACCGGUACUAAUGAACCGUGAGGCUUAACCUU